rnacentral:misc_RNA from 1 species
UUUCCGUAGGUGAACCUGCGGAAGGAUCAUUAAUGUGUUUGGGCCUCACGGCUCUUCAUUCCGACGCUGUGCGCCUUCGGGCUGCACGCUGAGGGAGCAUAUAUCCACCCCUGUGCACACACACGGUGGCGAGCUGGGUAACGGAUCGCCGCUGAUCUUUACACACGUCUAAAAGUCAUUGUAUGUUUAUUUGAGAUAAAAACACAACUUUCAGCAACGGAUCUCUUGGCUCUC